GACAUUGACAACCCAGCCCUCCUAGGCACAGAGAGAUGGAGCUGAGUGUGGUUUUCCUGAAAUAAAGCUUGCAUUAUGAGAGGGAAUAAACAGAAGAAAAAAAUAAACCUGCACAGUUUGCUGAUGUUACACAGUGCCUCAGCUCAGAAUGGAUUUGGGAUCAGGCAUUAUUGAGUCUUCUUGGAAUCUGCUAGUUGGAAGGGUCCUCAGAUGUACUUCCGUUUUUAACUUAGCCAUUUCAAGCUCCUACUCAGCGAAGACUCCCCCUCCAGGGAAAUUGACCAUUGCUUCCAGACAUGUGUGGGAGUCCAGAACAUGCCACUCCAAAAGGAGGAUUGUCGAGCUGAAGACAAUUAAGAAGAAACAGAUGCAGGAAAGCUCUCUGCCCUCCAUUUGCUUAAAUGCAGGACAGAGAUUUACAAGAUAAAAGACAUCCUGCCCCUGUCUUUUACCAGGGAGAACAAAGGUUAACCACUGAAGACAGUUUUAGACCAUUAUCUGCCAGGAGUAGGAGCCAGAGGAAUCUACCUGAACAUGCUUUACCAACUCGCUUUUAUCUGCCGGUUACUUGCUUCCCCGCAGAGAAGUCCCCUCUAGAGACCCAAAGUCCUUUUCCUUUGUCCUGUCACUUCUCUAAAAAUCACUAUUCUUUGUUGAAGAUGCUAUACAAGCUGGAAUUCAAAGCUAUUUCUUUGAGAACUACUCCUUCCCUGGGUGUCUGCCAUGAGAACUACUCCUUUCCUGGGUGUCUGCCAUGUAGAUGUGAAAUAUACAUGUAAAUAAACUUGUUUUUCUCGUGUG
ensembl:lncRNA novel transcript, antisense to C7orf33 and CNTNAP2